AUCUCAGCCGUUGAUAUAUAAUAUUUUAAGGUGGUGGUCUAGAUUUUUCACCUUGCACUUGCGAAACAGGUCAAGUUGGUGGCACUAAUAGUUUUGUAAAAAUUUGCUAAGGCACCCCUCUCUCUCAUGUGACCCCACUUGUACUGUGACUUUCACUCGUCGCGCUCUCGCCGCCCUGAAGUCGCGGUGACCACGCCGCACCACUCUCACCCCUCUGACAACGCAGCCAUCUUGAUAUUCUCCUUCUGGUCGCCUUCUUUGUCCGCAAUCACUACUGACCCCUCCCGAUGCUCGUUGAGGAGCUCCAACUUGGCAGCCCGGUCUGGGAGAAGCGGGUUCUCCUUUCUGGUUACUGCGCCGCCCUGAAGCGCCACGGCGAUGAGGUGCUUGAAAUCAACAACUUCAAUGGCUAUGGAGGUAUUGUAUGGAGAAUCCUGGCUCUGUGCAUACUAAAAUUGCUGGUUUUGUCAAUUUGCCUAGGUUUGUAAGGUUGUGAUCCCUCAAUUACUAUUGUGUCAAUUUGCUUCUAGCUCAGUAUAAAGGUUGAAUACUAAGGUCCCAUUUUCCCCAUCUUGCUUCUGUUUCUUUGUCACCUCUUGAAGCUGGAUCCAUGUUCAGGAUCUAGGUGAAAGGAAGGAAUUGGAGAAAACUGCCCUGCUAAGACAAGCCACUCCAUCCAGGUAUUUUCCUGGACUUGAAGUAAAGUAAAGUUAAUGAAGGCAAUUUAAGGCGCUUGCCAGUGUAGGUUGCAACUCACGGUGGAUGUUAAUUGUGAACUCCCUGUAACAAAUGUCUGUAAUAGAUAAUUGCAUUCUAGGCUCGUUAUAUUCUAGGCUGUUUUUAUGCUUACUGUAUUAGGAAUGACCAUUGCCAUUGUGUGCUGUAAUAAUGAUAGCUAAUCUUAUUGAAUGGUGUAUUCUCACAGCAAUUGUUUCAUUAUGACAAAUGCUUUGAGUUUAGAUAGUGGUUUAUCGUAUUGUGGGAUCAAAUGUACUUCAUGAAUUUUACAAUUUUUCUGUUUUAUAAAAGGUCAACCCUGUAUUUAUAUUAAGCCCAGUAAAGGUCACUAUGAAUUGGGAAGUGGGAAGGCUGUAACAGCAGGGAUGGAUAUCACAUGUUCACUAGAAGUUCCAGAAUUGGGAGCAAAAAUAAAGGGAAAAGAUAAGAGGAAGAGAUAGGGAGAGAUAGGAUAACGAAAUACACAAGAAAAGUAUCCAGAGACUACAACUAUUAUACGCCUGUAUCAUCCAGACAAGAAUCAUGGAACUGGAAGACGUAUUGCAGCUGUCUUAGGAGAGAAUCAAAGCUAUCUAUAGUUUGUCUUGAAGCCACCAAGUGUGUACUGGAGGUGUAGGUCCCAACAGAGCUGAAGUUUCAAUAUCGAACUUGCAAAGCUAAUGCACGAGGAUUAUGUAGAAUAUGAAUUAUGUACUUAUUGAUUACACACUAUUGAACUUUAAUGUUGUACAAUGAUGUAACAAUAGUUCUGAUUGCAAUAAAAUGAGACUUUUAAGUCUAAUUCUUUGUUUACUUUGUUUUUGUGAA